rnacentral:sRNA from 1 species
UGGAAACAGCUGAUCUAUAUGCUACCAAGGUACAGAGCAAGGAAACUGAAGUGUGGUUUUUACCAAUAUUAUUAAAGAGAGAACAAGACUAAAUGGCUUUUUAGAUUUCUCUGUGGCCAAGCAAGAGAUACCUCACAGCUUCUAUAUCAGCCAUGAAGCAUUAGGGAUAAGGGAUCUUCACUCUUCAUGAAAUUGCUCCUGUCACUAGCAAAAUCCUUAAUGGAACACUCUCAAAAGUAGCAAUUGGUGGGAUAGUCAGAAGAGGCUUUUCAACAUUUAGGAAGGUGGCACGUACCACCUCCUACUAACCUGGGAUAAAGAUGGUAGCUACUUUUAUUCCUUUAUAAGUUAGUAAUAUUAUAAGAGCAGUAGACACCUAUCUGCCAUGGAUGGCCUAGCCCUAUUUUAAAGGAUCCAGAUCAAUAAGUGUCGAAACUGUAAGAAGUAACUUUCCUAUGUACAUCUAAAAUAAAAUAUAAUUUAAAUGUGCAAAAUCUGUUAGUGAAGAUUGCAAACUUUUAAUUCUUUUUGAGGAUAACUUUACAGGAGUAACCUUAUAGGACAGAGGUUAACAUAGGCUUUGGAAACAGAUAAACCUGAGCCUACUCACCAGCUGUGUGACUUUGAGCAAGUUAUCGAACCUCUCAAAGCCUCAAUUUUCUUAUCUGUAAAAUUAAGAUAAUAGAACGUAUCUCAUAAGAGUUGUUAUGAAGAUUAAGUGGAUAAUGCAUGUAAGAUGUUUAUCCCAGUCUCUAGCUAAAAGCAAGCAUUCAGUAAAUGCUGGCCACAACUACUGUUAUUAGUUUAAUAUUAUUACAAUGUAUGGUUUUUUGACUUAGCCUGAACAGUGAUUCAUAGAGGGAAGAAUACUUGUGUUGAAUAUAAAUUUAUAUUUUGCUGAAAACUAUGUUUUGUGUUUGUUUUCCCCCAGGAGAGAAUAGAAUACUCCAAAACCUUCAAGGGGAAAUAUUUUAAUUUUCUUGGUUACUUUUUCUCUAUUUACUGUGUUUGGAAAAUUUUCAUGGCUACCAUCAAUAUUGUUUUUGAUCGAGUUGGGAAAACGGAUCCUGUCACAAGAGGCAUUGAGAUCACUGUGAAUUAUCUGGGAAUCCAAUUUGAUGUGAAGUUUUGGUCCCAACACAUUUCCUUCAUUCUUGUUGGAAUAAUCAUCGUCACAUCCAUCAGAGGAUUGCUGAUCACUCUUACCAAGUUCUUUUAUGCCAUCUCUAGCAGUAAGUCCUCCAAUGUCAUUGUCCUGCUAUUAGCACAGAUAAUGGGCAUGUACUUUGUCUCCUCUGUGCUGCUGAUCCGAAUGAGUAUGCCUUUAGAAUACCGCACCAUAAUCACUGAAGUCCUUGGAGAACUGCAGUUCAACUUCUAUCACCGUUGGUUUGAUGUGAUCUUCCUGGUCAGCGCUCUCUCUAGCAUACUCUUCCUCUAUUUGGCUCACAAACAGGCACCAGAGAAGCAAAUGGCACCUUGAACUUAAGCCUACUACAGACUGUUAGAGGCCAGUGGUUUCAAAAUUUAGAUAUAAGAGGGGGGAAAAAUGGAACCAGGGCCUGACAUUUUAUAAACAAAAUGCUAUGGUAGCAUUUUUCACCUUCAUAGCAUACUCCUUCGCCCUCAGGUGAUACUAUGACCAUGAGUAGCAUCAGCCAGAACAUGAGAGGGAGAACUAACUCAAGACAAUACUCAGCAGAGAGCAUCCCGUGUGGAUAUGAGGCUGGUGUAGAGGCGGAGAGGAGCCAAGAAACUAAAGGUGAAAAAUAUACUGGAACUCUGGGGCAAGAGAUGUCUAUGGUAGCUGAGCCAAACACGUAGGAUUUCCCUUUUAAGGUUCAUAUGGAAAAGGUUAUAGCUUUCCCUUGAGAUUGACUCAUUAAAAUCAGAGACUGUAA